AAAGGACUUUUCAGCUUCCAAGCAACAAUGAGCCUUACAAAAAAGGCAAGCAAGUGUGGAGGCUGUUUCUGGUAGCUACAGGGCAUGCUUUUUUUCUGAAAAAAAAAAAAAUCCAAUGAAAUAUUUUGCUCAGCGAUAUCCAAUAACCAGUGGCCUUUGUAUUGAUUCAGGACCGGAGGCAUCCCAGAUGUAUUUGGAAGGGGCUCUGCAGGGACACAGUCGUUUGAGGUGGGAGUAUGUGCUCUGAAGUGACCACUGUCUGCUUACUCUUGCUUCAGAGGAGCACGGCAAGCAGAAGCAGCAUUUCCAUACUUGUGAGUUAAACUGCCCCUGUGCCGCCUCUUCAGCCUUUCUCACAAGCACCCUUUCGGCGACGGGCUUUCUUCCCUCUCAAGGCGGAAUUUCGACAUCCUCCCACCCACAGCCCUGACUCCGUCGGCACUCAGCCACGUUUCCGCAGCAGGUCCAACUGGAUUUGGCAUCUGCGGGAGACUGCCCUUCAGCAGCUGGGACCUGAUAGGCUCAUUUCCCGGGACACUGAGCUAGCAAAUCAGAUGCACACAACUUGCCUGUCUGUGCUGUCUCCAAACUCUGCCUCUCUGCAGCAUGUGCUCUUCCCUCCAAGGUCAACGCAGGUAACUUGCUGUAAAUCCUGUACCUUCAGCAAUUGUCCAUGAUGACUUAACUACAGAAAUGCAAGUGAUUGCGAUGGAUCAAGCUGUACCAAAUCAAUUUUCAGCAAUGAUCAAGACCCUAAUAAAAGGAAACAUGACUGUGCCACUGUGACUCAUAUCUGAACUCUGUAUUCAGUUUUAGUGAGCAGGUAGAAAUGUCUUAGAGGGGCCUUACUCCUGCGAGACCGCAGCUUCCCAUCGCCGCUGUAGAAAGAGCGGAGCUGCUCUUGCCGCCUUGCUCGGUGAGGAGGGCUGGUGGCAGGAAGCCACAACGGCUCUGUGUGUUUAUCUCUCCCCAUCUCACAGCCCUGACAGAGCAAGUCUAUUUGGAUAGCAAGAAGCUGCGGUAACCAAGCAGCCACAAAAUACUAAAAGGGACAUUUCCCAGCUACUUACAUGGCUAAGAGUAAGUGCAAAACAAGUUCUUUUUAACAAAACAAGUAUAUAUUUUCAUGAGACUAGAGUGAGAAAAACGAAUAGCAGCUUUUGCGUAGGUGCAUUUACUUACAUAAUCUUCAACAAAAUCUUUGCCCUUUAGAAUAAAUUCUGCUUCUCCCUAAUGAUUGGUUUUACUGACAAGGAAAUUAGCAAUCCCUUAAAAUUCCCAUUACAAGCCCUACAUAAUUCAUCUUGAGCCUUUAUGUGGCUAGCUCAGAGCCAUGCACAGACCAUCUCCCUUCUUCUUCUAGAAAGUAGCUCCCAUUUCCUUAAGGAAUAACAAAAUGACUGCCUCUAUGAAGCAGCCAGAGGCACUUAACCCCUUCCUGGCAUGUUUAACACCUCCCCUCAGGAAGAGGUGUUUUAAGCAAAUACUGCCAGAUAGUUACAAGCAAAAGGCUCAUAAUGCAACUGCCAAAUGUAGACCUAAGCGCUCCCAAAGGAUGCAGUGCGCAGGCCCAGGAUUUCAGUUCAACAUAAUCUGCAGGGUCAGCAGCAGUUUCGAAGCUCAGAUCUGGACCAGAAUUGGUCCCAGAUCUGCAGAUGUUCAGGGCAGACCUGUAUUCUCAGACCAUUUCUAUUAUUUUAAUUUCUUAAGUGAUUGACUGCAACAAUUUCCAAGUAAGACAAUAACAAAACCGUCAUGUGACUGCUAGUAGCAAAGUUAUUCUAUUUCCAGAUGGGUUACUGGAAGCAAACAUGAGGUUUCACAUCAGGGAUGCUCCAGAAAGCUAAGAUCUGAUCUUACAAACACCACUAACUGCCCCACAGAGAGAGGCUGAUGUCGGAGAGUUCUGCAUACAGACAGCCUAAGAGCUUGAUAAAAUCAAAAUCCAAUUUUUAUAGCCCCCAAAUUAUUAUCUCCAGUGGGCUUACAUUUUAAGCAAUGAGAAGUACAUUUUUAAAUAAGAAGUGGGUAUGCCUACAUUCCUCAGCUAACCCAGAAAAGGAAACUGCCCUCUGGGCGUACGACUGCCUUGCAGACAUCUUGUGGACACUGUGGCUGCUCUGAGACGGUAUCUGUGCAUACUUAGGUUUUCCAAUUAGUAGGCGAGAUUUCCUGAUACAUUCUGGCUGCCUUUUACCACUUCAGUGAUGCAGAGCAGUCAUAAAGUUUAAUUGCCCAAUUAAACAGGGUUUGGAGUUGUUUCGCGCUGCUUGAGCGCCACAAAGCAGAUUGAAAAAACUAAUGAAUCUGGCCAAUAUUUUCUUUUCGGGAGGAAAAUGUAAAAUUCAAGGGCUGAAGUAACCUAAAUAAAGAGGUAGCUAUAGCCUGUACUGGAACAUUUAUAUUUCCAGUGCUCUGGAAUGAGUUAAAAGGAAAGUGUUCAAAUUCCUCCUAUUCCAGUUACAGCAUGGCAGAGAGAUAGAGACGGGUGUGCAAGUAAAACCAGUCCCCGUCCGCCCUGGCCUAACCAGGCUGCGUGAUGGCGAGAGCAGCUGUGGCUUCCUGCCACUGUCCUUUGUCAGUAGAAACGACUUCUUAAGAAACGGGAAAAGGCAAAAAAGCACACAGGCGGCAAUCACAACUCUCCAACGGAGGUAUCUAAAACUUGAGAGGGAGUGGGGCACAAGGAAUGGGGCAACAAAUUAGGACGCAGACAACCGGAGCUCGUGGCUGUGCCACUUGCUGCCGCGGCUGUUUAUCCUGCAGCAGGUCCCUUCCGCAGCUCUGCAGAUUUUCUCCCCACCCACUGUCUGUGGGUUCCUGUUAUUUUUUUAAAGCGUUUUGGUUGUGGGGGUGAUGCUGCAUGCGUGUUUCCGAGGUGAGGAGCACAAUGAGCUCCUAAGGAUGGUGGAGGCCUCUAGGGACAAUUUGAAUGCAAAUAAAUACUCGCUGUGAUUAUCUAGACACCAGUAGGCGUCUCAGUAAAGCGGAUUCAUUUGUAAGAAAGCUGCCUGAUUACUUUCAGGUUAAUAUUUUUUAAUGAGCAAAGUAGACUGCUGACAACAUAAAAUAUCGGCUAUUACAGUGUUUCUCAAACUGUCAGAUGUAACUACCAGAGGAGUCAUAAGAGAGUUCAAAAGGACCACAGCUCACAUAGUCACUUCACAAUAUUUUUAUACUAAAAUACCAGUGAUUUAAGGCAGUAUGUAUUUCUGUUGAUAGGUAGGUGGUAUCCAGAGUUUGCUGGAUUUUCAUGAGAACGGACAAAUUGAAAAGAAAUUCACGCUUGUAAAAAAAAAAAAAUUGUGAAACACUACUGGAGCAGUAAGAGUGAUGGAAACACAAAUGUGGAACCUAAUUUAUUAAAAGCAUCUGAACAUUACCAAACUCCAAUUUACUUAUAAUCUUUAUAGAGACUCUAAAAUGCUGUGGCGCUUUGUAAGAUUCACGAGCAGCACAAUGCGCCUCUGUUAUGAGUCUUUCGGGUCCCGGAGUGCGUCAAGAAGCCUUUAUGGUGGUGCCCAGCCAUGCCUGGUGCCUUUCCAGCACCCAUGGGUGCAGGGCAGCGCCACAGCCCAGCCCGGCCCUCGGUCCCGGUCUGACCUGGUCCUGCUUCUGGAUGGACCUCGGACCUGGCUGGUUGCUUGCUGCAUCUGGGGCUUCAGCCAUCACCCGUUUUCCAGCCUGCAGCGGUACCGACCCGGCACACUUCCCACCUCCCCGUCCCAAAUGCAGGCACAGCUACGUACGUUCCCUAUCGUUCCCUAUCGUUCCCUAUCCCCUGCUCCUGCCGCUGCCCUGACCGCCCACAUGCCCUCACAUCAGCACCCAGGCACUUCCGGGGCUGUCGCCACACUUCCACAAAUUACUGAGAGACAAAGCCAUAAGGAAGAAGAAAGAGUGAGCAGAAGGAACAGCAGCAAGGGGAGGAAGGACUACAUUUGCAGAGCGGGAAAGAGUUGAUGAGAUCUUUGGUUAAAAACAACAUCCUACUCUGGUUUUUGUUUAUUUUGCAUUCGAUAAGCACUUCAGGAGUAAAUACCUCUUUAGGAUCAUGGCUGCAUGACAGAAGUUGCAAAGGUCCGACUUGGAAUAUAAUUUCCCCAGCAUUCAGGGUAUCAGUGGUUUCACUUCAUCCUAUUAGAUUGUGCUUUCCACAAACAUGGCAUAAUGAUUUGGUUGGAAGUUACCUCUAAUUUUAUUAGAAUUGAAAAUGAGUUUAAAAGGAAUCUAAAAUAGUUCAUUUUCAAGCUAAAGAGUGGGAAGUGCUGAAUAGCACUGCUAAAGAACAUGGAGACAGUCAAUUUAAAUCAACUGAUUUAAAAUCUAGCUCAAAGUAGAAGGGCCUGGAGGUAUAAUCACUACUAGGUAGUUAUGCAACAGCCAUAUGUGGACUCAUGAGCUGGUCCUUAUCGUCUAGCUCAAAUGGCACGAGCUGGUACUGUAAAGAUGCAAGACCUCCGCCUAGUCUUUCCCCUUGAAAGCUAAUGUGGGAAUAGCACAAGGAAAAUACAUUUCGAGAUUACUCACUCCAAACCGCAAAGUGGAUGUUUCGUUUUGAUAUUUGGGAAGGAACAAGUAAAUAUAUUGUUCAGAGAACAGCUACAUUGCUUAGACUCGAGCUACCCCUCAAACAGUUGUCACCUCACUGCUUAGGGAGACAUGCCAUCAAAAUUAGAAAUGCAAGUGAAGCAGAUAUUUUAACAGCUUAAACGAGGGAACCAGAGACUCUCGAUAUAAGGUGGGUUGGCAAGUCUAAACAGAGAGGUUUGGGCUGACACUGCUUUACAGAAAACAAGAUUUCUGUUGCUAGGGUUUCCAAACGGGCACAUUUUGCAAGCCAUCAAUAAAGGCACUGAAUUAAAAUUAAAUCCGGAAGGCUGACAGGGACUGUGCCACUUCUGAAAAUGGACUCGAUGGUGCUGAAGGCGAGGGUUCUGCAUGCGGUCAGUUGUCGCUGCUGCUCCAUUUGCUUAAGUCUCUGUAUUCAGAGGAUUGGAUAAUUGCAUAAAGGAAAUUCAGGCAUGCACAGACUGAGAGCACACAGAGGCAAGAUGGUCUUUUUUUCCUUUUUCCACAAACGGUGUUUCAACCCUUUUGCUGUCGAAAGGCAAGUAUCCUGUCCGUUUCACAGGAGAUACAACUAACUGCUAAAAACUCUGUACAAAAUGGUAAAUCGAUAUAUUGAAUUUUAGCAUGUUAUUGAAGCAUGCUUAAGCAAACUGUAUGCAUGAUGUUUUAAAAAUAAAUACCACAUGGAAAAUCUCGUGUUCUAUUACUUUUUAAUUAAGAAGGGAUAAGUAGCAAAUACAUUAAAAAUAAAUUCCAACAGAUCUGCAAUCUGAUGCUGUCUGUGGAUAUAAAAUAUUGAUAUCAGCUCUAUGUUGGGAUAUCAACCAUAUGACAUGACAAAAAUACAUAACUGUAAUUAAACUGUGAUUUUUAGGACAAUGGAAGAUUGUGAAAAGUUAUGUGGAUGGCUUAUCUCUCUCUAUGCUUCAAGAGGAUUUUGAACAAAGCCUAAAAAGCAAGAUAUCACUGGCCAUAGAAUGGAAUUAUAUGGUGCAGAUGAUAUGGGCCUUUUUUUGUUAGAAUACUUACAUCUUAAAAUAAAUGACUGAAAAUUGCACAAUAAACAAACUUGAAUAAAUUUUAAUUCCAGUCUCCAAAAAAAAAGG